UGAGGAAUAUUGCACAAUGGGCGCAAGCCUGAUGCAGCGACACCGCGUGUGGGAAGAAGGGGCUAGGCCUCGUAAACCACUGUAGCCCGGGACGAAAAACGCGUUAGAGGUGUUAGACGGUACCGGGAAAGUAAGGGUCGGCUAACUACGUGCCAGCAGCCGCGGUAAUACGUAGGACCCAAGCGCUGUCCGGAUUUACUGGGUGUGAAGGGUGCGCAGGCGGAUGGGUAAGUCUGGGGUGAAAGUCUGCAGCUUAACUGUAGAAUUGCGUUUGAUACCGCUUAUCUUGAGUGUGGGAGAGGUGGAUGGAAUUCCGGGUGUAGCAGUGAAAUGCGUAGAUAUCUGGAAGAACACCAGUGGCGAAGGCAGUCAUCUGGCCCAUAACUGACGCUCAUGCACGAAAGCGUGGGGAGCAAACA
rnacentral:rRNA from 1 species